rnacentral:rRNA from 1 species
GACGAACGCUGGCGGCGUGCUUAACACGUGCAAGUCGAACGGAAAGGCCCUGCUUUUGUGGGGUGCUCGAGUGGCGAACGGGUGAGUAACACGUGAGUAACCUGCCCUUGACUUUGGGAUAACUUCAGGAAACUGGGGCUAAUACCGGAUAGGAGCUCCUGCUGCAUGGUGGGGGUUGGAAAGUUUCGGCGGUUGGGGAUGGACUCGCGGCUUAUCAGCUUGUUGGUGGGGUAGUGGCUUACCAAGGCUUUGACGGGUAGCCGGCCUGAGAGGGUGACCGGCCACAUUGGGACUGAGAUACGGCCCAGACUCCUACGGGAGGCAGCAGUGGGGAAUAUUGCACAAUGGGCGGAAGCCUGAUGCAGCAACGCCGCGUGCGGGAUGACGGCCUUCGGGUUGUAAACCGCUUUCGCCUGUGACGAAGCGUGAGUGACGGUAAUGGGUAAAGAAGCACCGGCUAACUACGUGCCAGCAGCCGCGGUGAUACGUAGGGUGCGAGCGUUGUCCGGAUUUAUUGGGCGUAAAGGGCUCGUAGGUGGUUGAUCGCGUCGGAAGUGUAAUCUUGGGGCUUAACCCUGAGCGUGCUUUCGAUACGGGUUGACUUGAGGAAGGUAGGGGAGAAUGGAAUUCCUGGUGGAGCGGUGGAAUGCGCAGAUAUCAGGAGGAACACCAGUGGCGAAGGCGGUUCUCUGGGCCUUUCCUGACGCUGAGGAGCGAAAGCGUGGGGAGCGAACAGGCUUAGAUACCCUGGUAGUCCACGCUGUAAACGGUGGGUACUAGGUGUGGGGUCCAUUCCACGGGUUCCGUGCCGUAGCUAACGCUUUAAGUACCCCGCCUGGGGAGUACGGCCGCAAGGCUAAAACUCAAAGGAAUUGACGGGGCCCCGCACAAGCGGCGGAGCAUGCGGAUUAAUUCGAUGCAACGCGUAGAACCUUACCUGGGUUUGACAUGGAUCGGGAGUGCUCAGAGAUGGGUGUGCCUCUUUUGGGGUCGGUUCACAGGUGGUGCAUGGCUGUCGUCAGCUCGUGUCGUGAGAUGUUGGGUUAAGUCCCGCAACGAGCGCAACCCUUGUUCACUGUUGCCAGCACGUUAUGGUGGGGACUCAGUGGAGACCGCCGGGGUCAACUCGGAGGAAGGUGGGGAUGACGCCAAGUCAUCAUGCCCCUUAUGUCCAGGGCUUCACGCAUGCUACAAUGGCUGGUACAGAGAGUGGCGAGCCUGUGAGGGUGAGCGAAUCUCGGAAAGCCGGUCUCAGUUCGGAUUGGGGUCUGCAACUCGACCUCAUGAAGUCGGAGUCGCUAGUAAUCGCAGAUCAGCAACGCUGCGGUGAAUACGUUCCCGGGGCU